rnacentral:SRP_RNA from 1 species
GCUGGGCGUGGUGGCUCAUGCCUGUAAUCCCAGCACUUUGGGAGGCUGAGGCGGGUGGAUAACCUGAGGUCAGGAGUUCAAGACCAGCCUGGCCAACAUGGUGAAACCCCGUCUCUA